CCGACCUCAGCACAAGCGAGAUCACCAAAUAAGUUUAAGCAAAUAAUUAAGUGAAGGAAAAGAAACUUACAAGGAUUCCCCUAGUAGCGGCGAGUGAUUUUGGAAGAGCCUAGCAUGAAAAUUGGGCGGCAGCGUCGCCUAAAUUGUAGUCUGUAGAAGCAUCUGCAGCGAAAGACCUGGACCAAGUCCCUUGGAAGGGGGUGCCUAAGAGGGUGACAGCCCCAUCAAGCUGGGAUCCUGCCGCAUCACAAGGCGUUGUCAACGAGUCAGGUUGUUUGGGAAUGCAGCCUUAAUUGGGUGGUAAAUUCUGUCCAAGGCUAGAUAUAGGAAAGAGACCAAUGGCGAACAAGUACCACGAGGGAAAGAUGAAAAGGAUUUUGAAAGGAGAGUUAAAUAGUGCUUGAAAUUGCUGGGAGGGAAGCGGAUGGAGGCUGUCGAUGUGUCUUGGUUGGAUGUGGAACGGCUCAGGCUAGUCUGCCGCUCGACUUGAGGUGCAAACCAAUAUAGGUUGCUGCAACAUCACAAGUGUAGAUGGAUUACUACCUGUCGGUAUGCCAUUGUGGUGGUCGAGGAACGAAGCGUGUGCCCUUGUGGUGGGCCAUGUGCACCUGUGCGCUUGUGGUGUUGGCUGGUGGGCUUUCCAUUCGACCCGUCUUGAAACAUGGACCAAGGAGUCUAACAUGUGUGCGAGUCAGCAGAUUUGUAAACGUGCGAGGCGCAAGGAAGCUGACAGGUGAGAUCCCCUCUCUGCGGGGGUGCAUCGUCAACCGACCUUGAGCUUAUGCGAAGGGUUCGAGUGCGAGCACACCUGUUGGGACCUGAAAGAUGGUGAGUUAUGCCUGAGUAGGGCGAAGCCAGAGGAAACUCUGGUGGAGGCUCGUAGCAAUACUACCAUGCAAAUCAUUCGUCUGACUUUGGUAUAGGGGUGAAAGACUAAUCAAGCCAUCUAGUAGCUGGUUUCCUCCAAAGUUUCCCUCAGGAUAGCUAGAGCUCACGCAUGAGUUUUAUUGGGUAAAGAAAAUGAUUAGAGGCAUCAGGGCAUAAUGCCCUCAACCUAUUCUCAAACUUUAAAUAGCUAAGAGGGUGCAAUUGCUCCAUUGAACCACACCAUGGAAUCAAGAGCUCCAAGUGGGCCACUUUUUGUAAGAAGAGAUGGCGAUGUAGGAUGAACUGAAAGUCAAGUUACAGUGCCAAAUUGCGCGCUAACCUAGAUCCCACAAAGGGUGUUGGUUGAUUAAGACAACAGGAUGGUGUUCAUGGAAGUCGAAAUAUGUUAAGGAGUGUGUAACAACUCACCUGCUGAAUCAACUAGCCCCGAAAAUGGAUGGUGUUGAAGUGCGCAACCUAUGCUUGACAGUCAAAGAAAUUGCAUGGCUCCGAUGAGUAGGAGGAAAUGGGGGUUGUUAAGAAACCUUAGGCGUGAGCUUCGGUUGAUCGGUCCCCAGUGCAGAUCUUGCUUAUAGUAGCAAAUAUUGAAAUGAUAACUUUGAAGACUGAAGUGGGGAAAGUUUCCAUGUGAACAACACUUGGACAUGGGUUAGUCGAUCCUAAGAUAUGGGGAAGCCUUGUAUCAAGGGUGCACUCUACACGAUCAUCGAAAGGGAAUUGGGGUAAUAUUCCUAAACUGGGGCAUGGUGACGAGCGAUAAUGUUAGGAAAUCUAGAGAUGUCGUUGGGGGCCCCGGGAAGAGUUAUCUUUUCUUUCUAACAGCUUGCCAACCCUGGAAUUGAUUCACCUAGAGAUAGGUUCUAGCAUUUGGAGGAGCACCGCACAUCUUCUAGUGUCCGAUGCACCCUCAACAGCCCUUGAAAAUCUGGAGGACCGAGUAUCGUUCAUGCCCAGUCGUACUCAUAACCGCAUUAGGUCUCCAAGGUGAACAACCUUUGGUCAAUAAAACAAUGUAGGUAAGGGAAGUCGGCAAAAUGGAUCCGUAACUUCAGGAAAAGGAUUGGCUCUGAGGGCUGGGCUUAUGGCUCUGCACCCUCAACUCGUGGGCUAUUAGCAUUCUACCUGAGCUGCUCUCGCAAUGAGGGUGAGCAGUCAUGUGCCGAUUAGGCUACGACCGUAGAAUGCCCCUUGCCGGGGGAUUUUCCCCAGGCAUCGAAUAGUCAACUCAGAAGUGGUACGGACAAGGGGAAUUUGACUGUUUAAUUAAAACAAAUAAUUGUGAUGCUCCCUGCGGAUGCUGACGCAAUGUGAUUUCUGCCCAGUGCUCCAAAUGUCAAAGUGAAGAAAUUAAACCAAGUGCGGGUAAAUGGUGGGAGUAACUAUGAUUCUCUUAAGGUAGCCAAAUGCCUCGUUAUCUAAUUAGUGACAUGCAUAAAUGGAUUAACAAGAUUCGAACUAUCCCUAUCUACUAUCUAGUGAAACCAUAGCCAAGGGAACAGGCUUGGCAGAAUCAAUGGGGAAAGAAGACCCUGUUGAGCUUGGCUCUAGUCCAACUUUGUGAAAUGACUUGAGAUGUGUAGAAUAAGUGGGAGUUGUUUUCAAUGCAAGUGAAAUACCACUACUUUUAGAGUUAUUUUACUUAAUCCAUUGGGUAGAGAUGGGGCAUUGCCCCUGUUUUUGGCCUUAAGGCACAUUUCAGUGGUUUGAUCUGAGCAGAAGACAUUGUUGGGUGGGGAGUUUGGAUGGGGUGACACAUCUGUUAAAAGAUAACGCAUGUGUCAUAAGAUGAGCUCAAUGAGAACAUAAAUCUUGUGUGGAACAAAAGGGUAAAAGCUCAUUUGGUUUUGAUUUUUAGUAUGAAUGCAAUCUGUGAAAGUGUGCCUAUCAAUCCUUUAGAUUUUCAGAAUUUGAAGCUAGAGGUGUCAGAAAAGUUACCAUAGGGAUAAUUGGCUUGUGGCAGCCAAGCAUUCAUAGCGACAUUGCUUUUUGAUCCUUCGAUGUCGGCUCUUCCUAUCAUUGUGAAGAAGAAUUCACCAAGUGUUGGAUUGUUCACCCACCAAUAGGGAACGUGAGUUGGGUUUAGACCGUCAUGAAACAGGUUAGUUUUACCCUACUAAUGAACCACACUACAAUAAUAAUUCAACUUACCACAGGAGGAACCAUUGAUUCACACAAUUGGUCAUCGCGCUUAGUUGAAAAGCUAGUGGCGUGAAGCUAUCGUGUGUCGGAUUCUGACUGAAUGCCUCUAAGUCAUAAUCCACACUAGAAGUGUUGCAUGUAACUCUUCAACUGUAUCUCGACUUGUAGUAGGGGCGUCGCUUUGUCGCCCCCAGGGGCCUAUGUCAUUUGCAAAUUGUGACUGUGAAGCAUCUCGGUUGGGCUAGCUUUGAAGUUCAAUUCCAAAUGGUCGUUGAGAAGAAUCCUUUGCAGAUGACUUAAAUACAUGAUGGGGUAUUGUAAGUGGCAGAGUAGCCUUGCUGCCAUGAUCCACUGAGAUUCAAC
rnacentral:rRNA from 1 species